AACGUAGGUCACAAGCGUUGUCCGGAAUUACUGGGUGUAAAGGGAGCGCAGGCGGGAGAACAAGUUGGAAGUGAAAUCCAUGGGCUCAACCCAUGAACUGCUUUCAAAACUGUUUUUCUUGAGUAGUGCAGAGGUAGGCGGAAUUCCCGGUGUAGCGGUGGAAUGCGUAGAUAUCGGGAGGAACACCAGCGGCGAAGGCGGCCUACUGGGCACCAACUGACGCUGAGGCUCGAAAGUGUGGGUAGCAAACAGG
rnacentral:rRNA from 1 species